rnacentral:rRNA from 1 species
CAGUAGCCGCGGGAAAACGGAGGGUGCAAGCGUUAGUCGGAAUUACUGGGCGUAAAGCGUGCGUAGGCGGUUCGUUAAGUCUGUUGUGAAAGCCCCGGGCUCAACCUGGGAAUGGCAAUGGAUACUGGCGAGCUAGAGUGUGUCAGAGGAUGGUGGAAUUCCCGGUGUAGCGGUGAAAUUCGUAGAUAUUGGGAAGAACACCAGUGGCGAAGGCGGCUCACUGGACCGACACUGACGCUGAGGCGCGAAAGCGUGGGGAGCGAACAGGAUUAGAUACCCCGGUAGUCCCUGUCUCUUAUAC